AGCGAACGCUGGCGGCAGGCCUAACACAUGCAAGUCGAACGGCAGCACAGGAGAGCUUGCUCUCUGGGUGGCGAGUGGCGGACGGGUGAGGAAUACAUCGGAAUCUACCUUUUCGUGGGGGAUAACGUAGGGAAACUUACGCUAAUACCGCAUACGACCUACGGGUGAAAGUGGGGGACCGCAAGGCCUCACGCGAUUAGAUGAGCCGAUGUCUGAUUAGCUAGUUGGCGGGGUAAUGGCCCACCAAGGCGACGAUCGGUAGCUGGUCUGAGAGGAUGAUCAGCCACACUGGAACUGAGACACGGUGCAGACUCCUACGGGAGGCGGCAGUGGGGAAUAUUAGACAAUGGGCGCAAGCCUGAUCCAGCCAUACCGCGUGGGUGAAGAAGGCCUUCGGGUUGUAAAGCCCUUUUGUUGGGAAAGAAAUCCUGUAGAUUAAUACUCGGUGGGGAUGACGGUACCCAAAGAAUAAGCACCGGCUAACUUCGUGCCAGCCGCCGCCGUAAGAC
rnacentral:rRNA from 1 species